GGACAACAUGCCCUAAGGAGGGGGAUAAUCUCGGGAAACUGAGGGUAAUACCCCAUAGGUCUAUUUUGCUGGAAUGCUAAUAGGCCGAAAACUCCGGUGCCUUAGGAUUGGUCUGCGGUCUAUCAGGCUGUAGUGGGUGUAAUGGACCCACUAGCCCGUGACGGAUAUGGGCCUUGAGAGAGGGAGCCCAGAGAUGGACUCUGAGACAUGAGUCCAGGCCCUACGGGGCGCAGAGUCGCGAAAACUUCGCAAUGGGGGCAACCCCGACGAGGGAAUUCCAAGUGCUAGCACUUUGUGUUAGCUGUUCUUCUGUCUAAAAAACAGGAGGAGUAAGGGGCGGGUAAGACGGGUGCCAGCCGCCGCGGUAAUACCCGCGCCCCAAGUGGUGGUCGAUAUUAUUGAGCCUAAAACGUCCGUAGCCGGUCUUCUAAAUCCUUGGGUAAAUCGGGCAGCUUAACUGUCCGAAGUCCGGGGAGACUGGGAGACUUGGGACCGGGAGAGGUCAGAGGUACUUCUGGGGUAGGGGUAAAAUCCUAUAAUCCCGGGAAGACCACCAGUGGCGAAGGCUGUCUGCUAGAACGCGCCCGACGGUGAGGGAUGAAAGCUGGGGGAGCGAACCGGAUUAGAUACCCGGGUAGUCCCAGCUGUAAACGAUGCAGACUAGGUGUUUGGACGGCCACGUGCCGUUCUAGUGCCGCAGGGAAGCUGUUAAGUCUGCCGCCUGGGGAGUACGAUCGCAAGAUUGAAACUUAAAGGAAUUGGCGGGGGAGCACCACAAGGGGUGAAGCUUGCGGUUUAAUUGGAGUCAACGCCGGAAAUCUCACCGGGAGCGACAGCAGUAUGAAAGCCAGAUUGAAGGUCUUGCUAGACGAGCUGAGAGGAGGUGCAUGGCCGUCGCCAGUUCGUGCCGUGAGGUGUCCUGUUAAGUCAGGCAACGAUCGAGACCCGCGUCCUCUGUUGCAACCAGCUUUGAGCUGGGCACACUGAGGAGACCGUCACUGAUAAAGUGGAGGAAGGAGCGGGCCACGGCAGGUCAGUAUGCCCCGAAUCUCCCGGGCCACACGCGAGCUGCAAUGGCAAGUACAAUGGGUUCCGACCUCGAAAGGGGGAGGCAAUCUCGAAAGCUUGCCGUAGUUGGAAU
rnacentral:rRNA from 1 species